GACGAACGCUGGCGGCGUGCUUAACACAUGCAAGUCGUGCGGUAAGGCCCUUUCGGGGGUACACGAGCGGCGAACGGGUGAGUAACACGUGAGCAACCUGCCCUUCACUUUGGGAUAACUGCCGGAAACGGUGGCUAAUACCGGAUAUGACUUCCUCACGCAUGUGGGGUGGUGGAAAGCCUUCGGGUGGUGGGGGAUGGGCUCGCGGUCUAUCAGCUUGUUGGUGGGGUGAUGGCCUACCAAGGCUUCGACGGGGAGCCGGCCUGAGAGGGUGACCGGCCACACUGGGACUGAGACACGGCCCAGACUGCUACGGGGGGCAGCAGUGGGGAAUAUUGGACAAUGGGCGAAAGCCUGAUCCAGCAACGCCGCGUGAGGGAUAACGGCCUUCGGGUUGUAAACCUCUUUCGCCUGCGACGAAGCGAGAGUGACGGUAGCAGGUAAAGAAGCACCGGCCAACUACGUG
rnacentral:rRNA from 1 species